rnacentral:rRNA from 1 species
GAUGAACGCUAGCGACAGGCCUAACACAUGCAAGUCGAACGGCAGCAUGGGUGCUUGCACCUGAUGGCGAGUGGCGAACGGGUGAGUAAUGCAUCGGAACGUACCCGGAAGUGGGGGAUAACGUAGCGAAAGUUACGCUAAUACCGCAUAUUCUGUGAGCAGGAAAGCGGGGGAUCGCAAGACCUCGCGCUUCCGGAGCGGCCGAUGUCGGAUUAGCUAGUUGGCGGGGUAAAGGCCCACCAAGGCAACGAUCCGUAGCGGGUCUGAGAGGAUGAUCCGCCACACUGGGACUGAGACACGGCCCAGACUCCUACGGGAGGCAGCAGUGGGGAAUUUUGGACAAUGGGCGCAAGCCUGAUCCAGCCAUGCCGCGUGCAGGAAGACGGCCUUAUGGGUUGUAAACUGCUUUUGUCAGGGAAUAAACCCUCGUUUGCGAACGAGGCUGAAGGUACCUGAAGAAUAAGCAUCGGCUAACUCCGUGCCAGCAGCCG